UUAUUGGAGAGUUUGAUCCUGGCUCAGGACGAACGCUGGCGGCGUGCCUAAUACAUGCAAGUCGAGCGGGCUAAUAGGUUCUUCGGAACCUGUUGGUUAGCGGCGGACGGGUGAGUAACAC
rnacentral:rRNA from 1 species